rnacentral:rRNA from 1 species
UACGUAGGGUGCAAGCGUUGUCCGGAAUUAUUGGGCGUAAAGAGCUCGUAGGCGGUCUGUCGCGUCUGCUGUGAAAACUCGGGGCUUAACCCCGGGCCUGCAGUGGGUACGGGCAGACUAGAGUGCGGUAGGGGAGACUGGAAUUCCUGGUGUAGCGGUGAAAUGCGCAGAUAUCAGGAGGAACACCGGUGGCGAAGGCGGGUCUCUGGGCCGUAACUGACG